rnacentral:rRNA from 1 species
UACGUAGGGCGCAAGCGUUGUCCGGAAUUAUUGGACGUAAAGAGCUCGUAGGCGGCCUGUUGCGUCCGCUGUGAAAUCCCGGGGCUCAACCCCGGGCCUGCAGUGGAUACGGGCUGGCUGGAGGCAGGCAGGGGAGAACGGAAUUCCUGGUGUAGCGGUGAAAUGCGCAGAUAUCAGGAGGAACACCGAUGGCGAAGGCAGGUCUCUGGGCAUUAACUGACGCUGAGGAGCGAAAGCAUGGGGAGCGAACAGG